rnacentral:rRNA from 1 species
CGCGCAAAUUACCCAAUUCUAACAGUUUGAGAGAGGUAGUAACAAGAAAUAACAAUACAAGGCAAUUAAAAUGCUUUGUAAUUGGAAUGAUAGAAAUUUAAACCCUUUUUAAAGUAUCAAUUGGAGGGCAAGUCUGGUGCCAGCAGCCGCGGUAAUUCCAGCUCCAAUGGCGUAUAUUAAAAUUGUUGCAGUUAAAAAGCUCGUAGUUGAAGUUCUGCUAAAAGUAACCGGUCUG